UUUUUAUCUACUGUAACAUAUAUUUAUUUAUUUAAACUAAAUUCAACAUAAAACAAAAGUAAAAAAAAAAAUAAUUAAUGAAAUAUUAACCUAAUUAAACUAAAAUAAAAAUACAAACACUAUAUACAUUAAAACUAUAACUAAAACCCUACUAAUACAAUAAUAAAUCACUAAAUAACAAACAAAUAAACAAAAACAUUAAAACAUAGGUACGUAAGUUGGUCACAUCAAUAAUGGCUAGUUGUUCGUUCUCACUGCAACAUACGACCGGUCCUUUGUUCUCGUCCCCACAUAAACCGGCGCGUAGCGGGCGAUCGCGGAAAGCGAUUUUGAUCUUCAUACAGCGGACACGUAAACGCUCAUCUCAACGCAGUGUUCAAAAAAUUUAAAUACGCUGAUAAUUAAUUCCUCCAGUUUUUUUUUACACACUGUGACUAGAAUUUCUAAAGUGUAAAAUUUCUCUUCAGUUUAAUUUCAAAGUUUUGUGUGUGCAAUAUUAUUACCCGUGAAUCGGGUCCGAGUUUAGGGCUGAGACGACAGCCAUAUCAUUGCGCACCACCCUGCGACUGCUGAGUGCUGUCCGUACGACCGACCAUCCCAGCGUAGUCAUUGACCGAAGACUGGUCGCGAUUAAGGGCAGUACCUCUUUGUCAGGAUUUAGAACACGGCAUAGGGCAGUAGGACUCAACCCUGUAUUUAUUUUCUUUAAAUAAAAUUAUUAUCUGUGGA